GACGAACGCUGGCGGCGUGCUUAACACAUGCAAGUCGAACGGAAAGGCCCUGCUUUUGUGGGGUGCUCGAGUGGCGAACGGGUGAGUAACACGUGAGUAACCUGCCCUUGACUUGGGAUAACUUCAGGAAACUGGGGCUAAUACCGGAUAGGAGCUCCUGCUGCAUGGUGGGGGUUGGAAAGUUUCGGCGGUUGGGGAUGGACUCGCGGCUUAUCAGCUUGUUGGUGGGGUAGUGGCUUACCAAGGCUUUGACGGGUAGCCGGCCUGAGAGGGUGACCGGCCACAUUGGGACUGAGAUACGGCCCAGACUCCUACGGGAGGCAGCAGUGGGGAAUAUUGCACAAUGGGCGGAGGCCUGAUGCAGCAACGCCGCGUGCGGGAUGACGGCCUUCGGGUUGUAAACCGCUUUCGCCUGUGACGAAGCGUGAGUGACGGUAAUGGGUAAAGAAGCACCGGCUAACUACGUG
rnacentral:rRNA from 1 species